rnacentral:rRNA from 1 species
GCGGGACACGUGAUAUCCUGUCUGAAUAUGGGGGGACCAUCCUCCAAGGCUAAAUACUACUGACUGACCGAUAGUGAACCAGUACCGUGAGGGAAAGGCGAAAAGAACCCCUGUGAGGGGAGUGAAAUAGAACCUGAAACCGUGUACGUACAAGCAGUAGGAGCAGGCUUUGUCCUGUGACUGCGUACCUUUUGUAUAAUGGGUCAGCGACUUAUAUUCAGUGGCAAGGUUAACCAUCUAGGGGAGCCGUAGGGAAACCGAGUCUUAACUGGGCGUUCAGUCUCUGGAUAUAGACCCGAAACCAGGUGAUCUAGCCAUGGGCAGGUUGAAGGUUGAGUAACAUCAACUGGAGGACCGAACCGACUAAUGUUGAAAAAUUAGCGGAUGACUUGUGGCUAGGGGUGAAAGGCCAAUCAAACCUGGAGAUAGCUGGUUCUCCCCGAAAGCUAUUUAGGUAGCGCCUCGGACGAAUACUACUGGGGGUAGAGCACUGUUAAGGCUAGGGGGUCAUCCCGACUUACCAACCCUUUGCAAACUCCGAAUACCAGUAAGUACUAUCCGGGAGACACACGGCGGGUGCUAACGUCCGUCGUGGAGAGGGAAACAACCCAGACCGCCAGCUAAGGUCCCAAAUUACUACUCAUUUAAAGAAAGCGUAAUAGCUCACUGGUCGAGUCGGCCUGCGCGGAAGAUGUAACGGGGCUAAGUAGUAAACCGAAGCUGCGGCAAUGUGCUUUUGCACAUUGGGUAGGGGAGCGUUCUGUAAGCGGUUGAAGGUGUGUGGUAA